rnacentral:rRNA from 1 species
UGCCACAGCCAUAUCACCCUGCAGCCCAAGACCGGUUACUCACUAAAGCUAAGCAGGGCUGAGCCUGGUCAGUACCUGGAUGGGAGACCACUAGGGAACACUAGGUUGCUGUUGGAA